UACGUAGGGUGCAAGCGUUAAUCGGAAUUACUGGGCGUAAAGCGUGCGUAGACGGCUAUCUAAGUCGGGUGUGAAAGCCCCGGGCUCAACCUGGGAAUUGCAUUCGAGACUGAAUAGCUAGGGUGCGGUAGAGGAAAGCGGAAUUUCCGGUGUAGCGGUGAAAUGCGUAGAUAUCGGAAGGAACAUCAGUGGCGAAAGCGGCUUCCUGGACCAGCACCGACGUCAGGCACGAAAGCGUGGGGAGCAAACAGG
rnacentral:rRNA from 1 species